GAUGAACGCUGGCGGCGUGCCUAACACAUGCAAGUCGAACGGAGUUGUCACCAUGAAGUUUUCGGAUGGAAUGGAGGCAACUUAGUGGCGGACGGGUGAGUAACGCGUGGGUAACCUGCCUCAUACUGGGGGAUAACAGCUGGAAACGGCUGCUAAAACCGCAUAAGAUCGCAUCACCGCAUGGUGAGGCGGUUAAAUAUCGAAAGAUAGGUAUGAGAUGGGCCCGCGUCUGAUUAGCUAGUUGGUGAGAUAAGAGCCCACCAAGGCGACGAUCAGUAGCCGGCUUGAGAGAGUGACCGGCCACAUUGGGACUGAGACACGGCCCAAACUCCUACGGGAGGCAGCAGUGGGGAAUAUUGCACAAUGGGGGAAACCCUGAUGCAGCGACGCCGCGUGAGUGAAGAAGUGCUUCGGCAUGUAAAGCUCUAUCAGCAGGGAAAAGAUGACGGUACUGACUAAGAAGCCCCGGUAACUACGUG
rnacentral:rRNA from 1 species